rnacentral:rRNA from 1 species
UCUGGUGGAUUGUGUGGGAGUGAGAAUGCAGGCAUGAGUAGCGAAUCUGCGGUGAGAAUCCGCAGCGCCGAUUGACUAAGGGUUCCAGGGCCAGGUUUAUCCGCCCUGGGUUAGUCGGGUCCUAAGGCGAGGCCGACAGGCGUAGUCGAUGGAUAACCAGUUGAUAUUCUGGUACCGCCUAGCAACCGUCCAAUACCGAGAUCAUCAUGCUAACCAAUUUUGCCGGCUAAUUUCCGUGCCUUUCGGGGUAUGGUUUGCGGCUGGUCUUGGGACCCGGUGGUGGAGGUAAGCGUAUUAACAGGGGUGACGCAGAAAGGUAGCUGCAGUGGGCUGAUGGUUGAGCCUACUUAAGGUUGUGGCCCGUUUCCUAGGUAAAUCCGGGAGACUUGUGGGUGAGAACUGAUGAGGGACGCUUUUAGAGUGGACUUGUGGUGAUCCUAAGCUGCCGAGAAAAGCCUCGACGCGAGGGGGCAAGGCGCCCGUACCCUAAACCGACUCAGGUGGUCAGGUAGAGUAUACCGAGGCGUUCGAGUGAAUCAUGGUUAAGGAACUCGGCAAAAUUCCUCCGUAACUUCGGGAUAAGGAGGACCCCGUGGUUUCCCAACGCCGUGCGUGUUGGUGGGGCUGUGGGGUCGCAGAGAAUAGGGAGAAGCGACUGUUUAUCAAAAACACAGGUGCGUGCGAAGCCGUAAGGCGAUGUAUACGCACUGACGCCUGCCCGGUGCUGGAAGGUUAAGAGGAACUGUCAACACUCCUUUGGGGUGUGAAGCGGUGAAUUUAAGCCCCAGUAAACGGCGGUGGUAACUAUAACCAUCCUAAGGUAGCGAAAUUCCUUGUCGGGUAAGUUCCGACCUGCACGAAUGGCGUAACGACUUCUCCGCUGUCUCGACCGUGAACUCGGCGAAAUUGCAGUACGAGUAAAGAUGCUCGUUUCGCGCAGAAGGACGGAAAGACCCCGGGACCUUUACUAUAGCUUGGUAUUGGUGUUCGCUUGUGCUUGUGUAGGAUAGGUGGGAGACUGUGAAGCUGCGGCGCCAGCCGUGGUGGAGUCGUCGUUGAAAUACCAUUCUGGUUCAAGCGGUCACCUUAACCUAGACCCGUGAUCCGGGUUGGGGACAGUGCCUGGUGGGUAGUUUAACUGGGGCGGUUGCCUCCUAAAAUGUAACGGAGGCGCUCAAAGGUUCCCUCAGCCUGGUUGGUAAUCAGGUGGCGAGUGCAAGUGUACAAGGGAGCUUGACUGUGAGACCGACGGGUCGAGCAGGUGCGAAAGCAGGAACUAGUGAUCCGGCCAUGGCACGUGGGUGCGUGGUCGCUCAACGGAUAAAAGGUACCCCGGGGAUAACAGGCUGAUCUUGCCCAAGAGUCCAUAUCGACGGGAUGGUUUGGCACCUCGAUGUCGGCUCGUCGCAU